rnacentral:rRNA from 1 species
GGUCACUCCAACCCAUGUGACAUACCUACUGUUGCUUCGGCGGGAUUGCCCCGGGCGCCUCGUGUGCCCCGGAUCAGGCGCCCGCCUAGGAAACUUAACUCUUGUUUUAUUUUGGAAUCUUCUGAGUAGUUUUUACAAAUAAAUAAAAACUUUCAACAACGGAUCUCUUGGUUCUGGCAUCGAUGAAGAACGCAGCGAAAUGCGAUAAGUAAUGUGAAUUGCAGAAUUCAGUGAAUCAUCGAAUCUUUGAACGCACAUUGCGCCCGCCAGUAUUCUGGCGGGCAUGCCUGUCUGAGCGUCAUUUCAACCCUCAUGCCCCUAGGGCGUGGUGUUGGGGAUCGGCCAAAGCCCGCGAGGGACGGCCGGCCCCUAAAUCUAGUGGCGGACCCGUCGUGGCCUCCUCUGCGAAGUAGUGAUAUUCCGCAUCGGAGAGCGACGAGCCCCUGCCGUUAAACCCCCAACUUUCCAAGGUUGACCUCAGAUCAGGUAGGAAUACCCGCUGAACUUAAGCAUAUCAAUAAGC